rnacentral:rRNA from 1 species
AUUGAACGCUGGCGGCAGGCCUAACACAUGCAAGUCGAGCGAGCGGCGGCCGUGAGAGUAAUGUAUGGGGAUCUGCCUGAUGGAGGGGGAUCACUAGUGGAGCCGGUAGUUAAUCCGGCAUACGAUCAGAUGAAGCCACAUGGGAUUAGCUUGUAGGUAAGGUAACGGCUUACCUAGGCGACGAUCCCUAUCUGGUCUGAGAGGAUGAUCAGCCACACUGGGACGGAGACACGGCCCAGACUCCUACGGGAGGCAGCAGUGGGGAAUAUUGCACAAUGGGCGCAAGCCUGAUGCAGCCAUGCCGCGUGUAUGAAGAAGGCCUUCGGGUUGUAAAGUACUUGCAGUCGGGAGGCGUUACCGACAGAAGAAGCACCGGCUAACUCCGUGCCAGCAGCCGCGGUAAUUC